rnacentral:piRNA from 1 species
UACCUUGACAAGAGCCAUGAC